GUGUUCGUUGAGCCGAGAGAAGGUUAGCAACCCCCUUGACAAGGACGGGAAUUGGCUUCGGCCAUUCACACACCAUGAGGUUAAGGAUGGAACAGUACUGCUCAUCUAU
rnacentral:ncRNA from 1 species